AUUUGAAUUUUUGUUUUAAAGGAGAAACUGCCUCUCUGCCAUGCUUUGCCCCCUACCCUUUACCUCCCAUAUCUCCGUGUGAGAUAUGAACCACUUCCAAACAAGUUAAACUUGAAGCCCUACUUAGUUUCUCAGGCUCAUUACCAAGGAUUUAAAACCUCUCUAUUCAUUCAACAACAAUGGUUUCCAUGGCAAUUACUGCAACACAUGACAUUCCCUGCAGCUCUGCUUAAAAAUGCACCCACAGAAAUGGCUACACAUCAACACAGUCCUCAGCAAAGGCUAGGCUGGGAGGGUUUCCCUCUUCCUGGUGGCUGGCGCUAAGAAAUUAAUCAUAAUAAUUUUAAAAAUUUAAUCAAUCAUUUUGAUUUCUUUGUGCGGUAUCAGUUUUCUCCUUUUUCUUUCAACCCAUCACACCAGUGAAGAUAUCGUUUCUUGUAGCAAAUCAUUUGAGUUGCAUUUCUAUGAAAGUGGCCAGGGAUGAAGACAAAUUACUGACCAUAAUUUCUGUCACCUGUUACCCCUCGCAUCUGUUUCUGACUCUGUAGUCAUUUCCCUCAGCCCUUUUUCUGUCUAAGAGAAACACACAUUCUGAAAGAAUAAGUAGCGUGCCAAAGUAGAAACCCAGACAGAGCAGAGAAACACCCUCUGCACAGUCUGUCUGCUCUGCCUACAUCCCACCAAAAAAGCAAACAGCAGGUGCACUUAAAAAACAUCUGCAAGAGAUAACUAGUCAAAUGAAUACACAAGUCAGUGAGGCUCCUUUUUAUUGAAAGCAGCAGUGUGCAGGUACCAGAGCAAGAGCUUUACAUUAAUCAUUUCAUCAUGAUCCUAUGAGUUUAGUAUGUUCACCACUGUACAAAUUAAGAAAUGGAUGCUCAAAGGAGAUAAAGAAAUUUGCUUGUGAUCAUGCAGCCAGAUGUCAGAAUUGGGAUUUUUUUUUUUUUUCACCCAAAUAGGCUGGACUCCAGAACUGAUGUUCUUGAAUUAACUGAUAGAGACUUAUUUUCUCACUCAGGCUUGAGAGAAGAUAGAGUGGGGGGAGGCGGACCGUCAAGCGGUCCAGGCUAUUAUCUGAGUUCUUGGACAGUUCCCUGUAUGCUGGCUGGGACAAUUCUAAACACGUCUCUGCAGCCUCAUUCCUUGCUUUGCCUGGGACAUGUUAAUAGCGAUGUUGACCUGCUUCCCUGGGUUAUGUAAUGACAGACGGUGAAAUAAACAAUAGGUGAGGGUUUUGAAAGACUAAGCGGUAGUGACGGUGAUCUUAAACCCACAGGUAGAGACAAAAGCAAAGGCAAGACGGAGGGGAAACAUAUAUCACAAGAAUGCUUUCAAAUGAAUGGCGAGAGGGGCUUGCCCCAAAGAGAAUGAAUGGUGUAAUCCAAUUACCCUCAUUCUGUCAAGCCCUAGGCAGAUGUGUUGGAUGCGAAGUGCAGCUCCCGAAUCAAGCUUUUGUAAGACCUGGCUCUGGAGAUGGAAAAGGCCCCCAUGAGAAAUCUAUCCGGGUCACUCCUGGCUGUUUCUGGUCCAGGAAAUACAUAAGACCCUGGAAGAGUUUACUCAUGUGUGUUCAUUUCUCCACAAGGAAGAAUUUGGGGCAUCAAGGUUUCCUUUUAACAAGCAUGGCAGUGCUGCAGGUAUCAGUUCUCUUCCAUUGGGAGCCUGUUCGUGUAACCAUUAAAUAAGAGCUACAUUAGCUUCAUAUGAAGGUAAUAGCUAUGCUUACCUAAUUUCCCAUUGACUUGACUUAGGCUCAGUCCUUAGUGAUGGAUGAUAGCAUUAAUUAAGGGUCAGCAAUUAGGGAGGCAGUUGAGGCUACUGUGCUUGAUUUUAUGUUUUAGUCAGCAGAAAUUAAACAUGGUUUCAGCUUUGCAUCAUGUUCUCCUUGUCCUGCACUUUAGAAGCACUUUGGACAUAAUCCAGAACCAUGUCCCAACACCUACUCGCCAAUGUAUUUAUAUGAAAAACAUUUAUUCUGUACCUGAGGCUAUAAAACAGAAUGCUGCAUGGUUGCUACCCUCAAGGAGCUCAGAAUCUGGAAUAACCAUACAAGACUUCAACCAAAAUCAUUUAAAAAGAAGGCCUCAGGGGAGUUUCCUGGUGGCUCAGUGGGUUAGGGACCUGGCAUUGUCAUGGCUGUGGCUCAGGUUACUACUAUGAGGCUUGUUCAGUUCCUGGCCUGGAAACUUCUGCAUGCUGCAGCUGUGGCCAAUAAAAAAAGGCCCAGGAAAAUGUGAACUAUAAUCUAUAGGGACAUGAUCAAGCUGAGACCCAAGAAAUGGGGAUUUUUUAUGGCUUCCUAUUCAUUUAUACAGUAAAGAGGUAGGAAAAUUGUUUCUUGCUUUCCAAUGAUUGUGCCACAUUCUUCUAAGGACCUUCUGUGACAGUAUGAAAUAAAGGCACUUGGGAAUUUUAGCCUUCAGAAAAAAGAUGAAGCAAUCACAUUGGUAAACUUUCAGGUUGAUUGUUUUUGCCCAUAACUUUCAUAAAUGGAUUAUAGCUGAAUUCUAUGUUAAGUCCAAAAGACUUGAGAUUUUCCAAGGCUAUUAUUUUGGAGUAUUUUUUAAAAUGCUCCUGGAAAUUGUUUUACCUUCUUGGAAAUACAUAACUUCUUCUAGAAUAGAUUUCUUUCAUUUAUCCCUACUCAAAUUUCUAGGUUUUCUUAGAUUAUACACAUUACAGCCAAAGAACAUAUGUGGCAUUCUGGCUAUCAGGGAUACAUGCAUUUAAAUGUGUGUAUUUAAAAAAAAGGACCUCAGCCUUUUUACCUUAUAUUCUCACCAUGUAUACAGGUGAAAGAAAGGAAAUUACCAUUCUCUUAUUAACAUUCAUUUUUAAUAAAUUUUUUUUGAUAAUGAAAAAAUACAUAUUUAAAUAUAUGUGUGUGUAAAUAUACAUAUCUAAACAUGAUCACGUCUACUGCUACAAGUAGGAAGGAUCCUUACAAAGAGAAAUCGUGGUCAGUUAAGAAAAGAUAAUCUGAAUAAUAUAUGGAGUAAAAUUUCUAGAUAGAUUUGUUCUAAACUAAAUAAUAGAGGCAAAUAGAUUAGAUAAGUAAAAUAAACAUUCCCUCUACUGCUCGAAUCAGUCUUAAUGG
rnacentral:lncRNA from 1 species